rnacentral:rRNA from 1 species
CCUACGGGAGGCUGCAGUGGGGAAUAUUGGGCAAUGGGCGAAAGCCUGACCCAGCGACGCCGCGUGAGGGAAGAAGGUCUUCGGAUUGUAAACCUCUGUUGACAGGGACGAAAGCGGGGCAACCCGCCUGACGGUACCUGUCGAGGAAGCCACGACUAACUACGUGCCAGCAGUCGCGGUAAUACGUAGGUGGCGAGCGUUAUCCGGAUUUACUGGGUGUAAAGGGUGUGUAGGCGGAGAUGCAAGUCAGGUGUGAAAUUUACGGGCUCAACCCGUGACAUGCGCCUGAAACUGUGUCCCUUGAGUGUCGGAGGGGUAAACGGAAUUCCCGGUGUAGCAGUGAAAUGCGUAGAUAUCGGGAGGAACACCGGUGGCGAAGGCGGUUUACUGGACGACAACUGACGCUGAGACACGAAAGCGUGGGGAGCAAACAGGAUUAGAUACCCCAGUAGUC